rnacentral:lncRNA from 1 species
GCGCCUCGCGCCUGCACUUUCCCCGAGGCCGGGUCCCACUGACAGAGCGCCCCCCAACGUCUGCCGCCCCGGCCUGCUUUCUAGAGGAACAUCGCGAAGGACGUGGACGCACCCAGGAAAGCUGAGAUACCCUCGCGAUGGGACCUUGGUCUAGUUAGGUCUCUUUAGGGUUUGCGAAACAUUUUCACGUUGUAUUGUUCCUCCAUUUACAGAAAUAUUUGACUUUGUAGAGCACCACAUAUUUGCUAGAUCCUGUGCCCUGAGCGAUAGCGGGGUCAGUCAAAUAGACACGAGAUCUCCCGCCCUGAUGGAGCUUGUGUUCCCCCAACAAAACCGGCUGGAAAAUGUUUGGACUAGGCAGCGAGACACUACGAUACCCCCAGCAUUUGAAAGGCGUAGAAGCUUUCCAAAGGUUCCUUCACCAUGAAGAACAAGGUUGGAGCGGUACCCAGAUGCCUGUUUCUAAGUCCCUAUCCUCAGUGGCGGUCAGCCUCGCCGAACCUAAGCGUUCCGAGAUACCCUGAAGAUUACUUGGCUCACCACCAUCGCAAAAUGGAGGGAAGAUAUAAUUAUAUGUACUUAAAACAUCCUGCCAAACAAUUAAAUGCCAUGACUUAACUUCUGAAGGAAUGAAUUCUAGGAAGAGGCUCUUACUAGCAUUCAGGCAAUGAGGAUUGUGCCCUUGGAUCUAUGUGACCCCCUACCUGGCCAAGCACCCUGAGAACUCUUCUCUGAUGACUCGGCCUCUUGACUGGCUGUGCCCACUAGAUUAGGAGAGCACAGAGGCUGCACAAUGGCACCGGGCCCCGGUACCUGUCGGAGCAGAGGCUUCUGCACAGGAGGACUUGUUGGUGAGCCCACGGGAGAUGUUCC